rnacentral:lncRNA from 1 species
AUGUGUGCAGAGAGCUGUGUGGGAGGGCAUCACACCUGUGCUGCAAGAGGUGCUCCAGGGAGCAUGACAGUGAACAGCUCCAAUCCUGCUGCCACCAGAAGCUUGGAGCUCACCAGCAAUAGGAGAAGGGAAGAAGUGCUAGUGAAUUUGACAGAGGUAGUAAUAGGACUUGCUUUGGUGCUUAGGACUCGCAUGCAAGCCAGGACCUGUCUGCAGACUUGUUUCAUCUUCAGCUCAGAUUGUUUCUCUCCUCUCUGGGACAUCAAGAGCAGAAUCCUUCAGAGCAGGACCUGUGACAGAAGUCCAGAUCAGCUUGCAUUAAGAGCAUGAAAGUAUCCUUUUGAAACUGGUUUCCUAAAGGAAGAAAGCAUGUGUUCUUAUGGGUUGUGAUGUAAACUUGGUGUGUCCUCACAUUCUUGUAGAGCAACUUUGGAACCUGUUUGUCUAUUUUAAUAAGAUUUGGUAAAUUUCAUAGCAAAUGAAGUCCUUGCAGGUAGUAGCUAGCCAGUUAGAAAGGGACCCUAUAAAUAUCCUGAUUCAGGAAAAUAGUGCACUGUGCAUGUGUUAAACUCUGGAGACACUACAUAGGAAAAUAAUUACAUGUAAGUACUCAUCUGGAUCAAAAGCUUCAGUAAGAACUCAAUUUUUCAGGAACAGAAAGCCAUAGGGGACCAUGGCUCAUUCAUUCUGCACCUCACUAUAAUAAACUACUUUUAUCUUGUUAUGAUGCA